rnacentral:lncRNA from 1 species
GUGAGCGGAAUCCUGACUGGUUCAUCCUCCCCGGAACUUCCUAGACGCCGUACGUGCCAGAUGGUGUUACCUGGAGCUUAAAAAGCUGCACGCAAGUGUUAAACUUCUGACAAUGGCCAAGAACAAAUUAAGAGGGCCGAAGUCCAGGAAUGUAUUUCACAUAGCCAGCCAAAAAAACUUUAAGGCUAAAAACAAAGCAAAACCAGUUACCACUAAUCUUAAGAAGGUGAGUAUUAGUUAAGCACUCUGACUUUAUUGUUUACAAGCAAAGUGUCAUUGUAAGCUACUGAACAGCUGUAUACUAUUACUUUUUAAAAAGGUUCUUCAUUUUUCCUAGAAAGGUAAGGAUGGUUUCAAGCAUUUGUCUAAAAAAAUAUAAAAAAAAAGGAAGAAAAAUAACCUCCCUUUCUUGAAAACAAAUGUUGAAAAGAAAUAAACAUUUUAACUACAAAUGUGUGAAGCUUCAAUUUAAUAGUUUUACUGAACCAUAGAACUCAUUUAAAAACCAUAGUAUGGGAAACAGUUCUUAUCUCUAAACUCAAAUGUAAGAAUGUAUUAAUAGAGGCAAGACAUGGGAUGUCAGUGAGCACCCAUUCUUUUUCUCCUCAGUAAUUCUUGUAUCUUUGAAGACAUCUGCAAUUCAAACAAAAACCUGUAAAAUGAAGAUAAAAAAUAUUUAUUGAAAUGCACAAUUUGAAAGGGGUUUCUUUUCUUUGUUUAUAUUUCAAAAUACCUGAGAAAUUUCUACAAGAUUUAAGAAAAAUUUUUAAGAAAAUGUUUUCAAGUUUCAGUAGUAGAU